AGCUAGUUGGUGAGGUAAUGGCUCACCAAGGCGACGAUGCGUAGCCGACCUGAGAGGGUGAUCGGCCACACUGGGACUGAGACACGGCCCAGACUCCUACGGGAGGCAGCAGUAGGGAAUCUUCCGCAAUGGACGAAAGUCUGACGGAGCAACGCCGCGUGAACGAAGAAGGCCUUCGGGUCGUAAAGUUCUGUUGUUAGGGAAGAACAAGUACCAGAGUAACUGCUGGUACCUUGACGGUACCUAACCAGAAAGCCACGGCUAACUACGUGCCAGCAGCCGCGGUAAUACGUAGGUGGCAAGCGUUGUCCGGAAUUAUUGGGCGUAAAGCGCGCGCAGGUGGUUCCUUAAGUCUGAUGUGAAAGCCCACGGCUCAACCGUGGAGGGUCAUUGGAAACUGGGGAACUUGAGUGCAGAAGAGGAAAGUGGAAUUCCAAGUGUAGCGGUGAAAUGCGUAGAGAUUUGGAGGAACACCAGUGGCGAAGGCGACUUUCUGGUCUGUAACUGACACUGAGGCGCGAAAGCGUGGGGAGCAA
rnacentral:rRNA from 2 species